rnacentral:rRNA from 1 species
GACGAACGCUGGCGGCGUGCCUAAUACAUGCAAGUUGAGCGCUGAAGGUUGGUACUUGUACCGACUGGAUGAGCAGCGAACGGGUGAGUAACGCGUGGGGAAUCUGCCUUUGAGCGGGGGACAACAUUUGGAAACGAAUGCUAAUACCGCAUAAAAACUUUAAACACAAGUUUUAAGUUUGAAAGAUGCAAUUGCAUCACUCAAAGAUGAUCCCGCGUUGUAUUAGCUAGUUGGUGAGGUAAAGGCUCACCAAGGCGAUGAUACAUAGCCGACCUGAGAGGGUGAUCGGCCACAUUGGGACUGAGACACGGCCCAAACUCCUACGGGAGGCAGCAGGAGGGAAUCUUCGGCAAUGGAAGAAAGUCUGACCAAGCAACGCCGCGUGAGUGAAGAAGGUUUUCGGGUCGUAAAACUCUGUUGGUAGAGAAGAACGUUGGUGAGAGUGGAAAGCUCAUCAAGUGACGGUAACUACACAGAAAGGGACGGCUAACUACGUG